GACGAACGCUGGCGGCGUGCUUAACACAUGCAAGUCGAACGGUAAGGCCCUUCGGGGUACACGAGUGGCGAACGGGUGAGUAACACGUGGGUGAUCUGCCCCGCACUUCGGGAUAAGCCUGGGAAACUGGGUCUAAUACCGGAUAGGACUCCUGGCUUCAUGGUUGGGGGUGGAAAGCUUUUGCGGUGUGGGAUGGGCCCGCGGCCUAUCAGCUUGUUGGUGGGGUAAUGGCCUACCAAGGCGACGACGGGUAGCCGGCCUGAGAGGGUGACCGGUCACACUGGGACUGAGAUACGGCCCAGACGCCUACGGGAGGCAGCAGUGGGGAACAUUGCACAAUGGGCGCAAGCCUGAUGCAGCGACGCCGCGUGAGGGAUGACGGCCUUCGGGUUGUAAACCUCUUUCAGCUAUGACGAAGCGCAAGUGACGGUAGUAGCAGAAGAAGGACCGGCCAACUACGUGCCAGCCGCCGCCGUAA
rnacentral:rRNA from 1 species